rnacentral:rRNA from 1 species
AUGGCGGCCUCGUCAUCAGAGCUGCCCGAGCGCCUCGUCGUGCUCUAUGCAUCGCAAACUGGCAACGCCAUGGAUGCUGCCGAACGUGUAGGGCGAGAGGCUGAGCGUGGAGGCUGCCCGGCUGUCGAUGUUCUCUCCAUGGAUUGCUUCGAUCCCAGUUGCCUGCCACGCGAAAGGUAUGUGGUCUUCGUUGUGUCCACCAUGGGGCAGGGGGACCCCCCAGAUUCCAUGAAGGAUUUUUGGACAUACCUUACCAGAAAGUCUCUGGGUGCGCGAUGGCUGGAAGGGCUAUUUUAUGCCGUGUUUGGGCUCGGCGAUUCAACCUAUGGGAAGUACAAUUAUCCUGCAAAGAAGCUCGAUCGAAGGCUUUUCAAUCUUGGUGCAGAAAGAAUCACAGAAAAAGGCUUGGGAGAUGAUCAACAUUCAUCUGGAUACGAAGGAGCUCUAGAUCCGUGGUUGCUGAUUUUGUGGAAAUCCCUGAAUCAAACAAAUCCGUCGCUGUUACCAAGAAUAUCUGAUGCCAUUCAUCCUAAUUUGAAUAUUUUGGGGGAUGCAAAGGUAGAAGUCAUAUAUUACUCGGCUCCACAAGAUACCACCAUUUCAGACCCCAAAAUAUUAAUUGAGAGAGCGCGCUCAAUGUCCCCUGCUCUGAAGUAUCAUAAUGAAGGAGAGCCACAAUUCAUGUUACAAAUGGUUUAUCAUGAAGAGGGAGAAUACCGGCAGCUGGGAUUCUGGGCUGGAAAAGGAGCAAAUAUUGGAAACCUAUUCUGCGCAGUUCCAAAAGUCCUGAAACUCCACGAAAGUCAUUUUUGGAAUUAA